ACUGUAAAGCAAUUAUACUUUGGAAAACUGAAUUAAGUUGAAUUUUUGAAAACUUGAUUCUAUGCUAAUGUCACCGCAGAUGUUUGCUACUUAAGUGACCCUAACAAUAAAUGUUUUGGGGGAAAAAAAAAACCACAGCUCUACUCACAAACCUUUUCAGAGCAUAUUGUUAAAAUCGGGGGCAUCUACAGGGAGUGAUUUUUAAAGAGUCUGAAGUGUUUCCAUAGCAUUUCUAUAAUGGAAAUUGCCUUUUCAUGAAACCUCCAGAUACCAAGAUGAUAUUGCUUAAUGGCAUUAGCAUCCUGUGAACUCUGAGUUAUUGUCCAAGUAUC
rnacentral:lncRNA from 1 species